AGUGAACGCUGGCGGUAGGCCUAACACAUGCAAGUCGAACGGCAGCACAGUAAGAGCUUGCUCUUACGGGUGGCGAGUGGCGGACGGGUGAGGAAUACAUCGGAAUCUACUUUUUCGUGGGGGAUAACGUAGGGAAACUUACGCUAAUACCGCAUACGACCUACGGGUGAAAGCAGGGGAUCUUCGGACCUUGCGCGAUUGAAUGAGCCGAUGUCGGAUUAGCUAGUUGGCGGGGUAAAGGCCCACCAAGGCGACGAUCCGUAGCUGGUCUGAGAGGAUGAUCAGCCACAUGGGAACUGAGACACGGGCCAAACUCCUACGGGGGGCAGGAGGGGGGAAUAUUGGACAAUGGGCGAAAGCCUGAUCCAGCCAUACCGCGUGGGUGAAGAAGGCCUUCGGGUUGUAAAGCCCUUUUUUUGGGAAAAAAAAGCAGCAGGUUAAUACCCCGCUGUUCUGGCGGUACCAAAAGAAUAAGCACCGGCUAACUUCGU
rnacentral:rRNA from 1 species